UCUCCUCUCAUGUCUCCUGGUGAAAGGCCCUUCCUCUUUUUCUUCUCAAAGUUCCUUUCUCUUCCCCAGGAAGUUCCACCUUCUGCUUCCUGUCCAACUAACUGGCCAUCAGAUGUUUAUUAAAGCCAAUCAGAGAAUGCCUUAGGUAGGUGAGGAAGGACAGAGACACAAAUUCAUACAGUGUAUCCCAACAACUAGUUACUUUUCUAUUGCCAUAAACAAGGCACUAUGACCAAGACAACUUAUAUGUCAAAAAGCAUUGAAUUUGGAGCUUUUGUAGAGUUUAGAGGGUGAGUGUCUGACCAUCAUGAUGGAAAGCAAGGCUGCAGGCAGGUCCUGGAGAAGUAGCUGAGAGCUUACACGUCAUCCACAAGAAUGAUACAAAGAAGGAGAAGAUGGAACAUGACCCUGUCUUAAAAAAGAAAAAAAGACAGCUCCUAAGGAACAAUACCCAAGAUUGUGCUUCAGCCUACACACACACACACACACACACACACACACACACACACACAUUCAUUCACACACAUAUACAUAUACACAUUCAUACACACACACACACUCACACACACACUCAUACUCACACACAUUCACACACAUAUACACAUUCAUACACACACACACACACACACACACACUCACACACUAUACUGAAAUGGGGAAAUUAAAAGCAGAACUAGAAGGAGCUUCCAAUCUAGUAGAACUAGUAAGUACUGAGAGAGAUCAAAUAUCUGAGAUCAAAGCCAUGUGAAUGAUUGACAAAGAAUAUGGUGUUCUUCCAACACUGUGGUCUUGAGAUUUUCUUUGCUGUAACUAAAGCCCAGUAACUUAUCAGAGUUGCCCAUUAACAAUACACCACAAUAAGGAGCAUAGCCUGAACUUUCCUCUUAUCUACCUGCAAUGCAGAUACGCACAGACAAUACCUCUACCAUCUGUUCUUGCUUCAAGAGUCUGUGCGCCAGUAAACAUAAAAUUCCCUAAAGUAGCUGUAAAAAUGCUGCGCUAUGCAAAUCACCUCAACCAUUUAAGUCUUUGACACUGCCUACAAAAAUAGCUGCCCAUAAAAGAGAAUCAGAUGCGGUGAAUAAUUCACAUGCAUGCCCUUGUGUGGGCGGGAGCUGGGUGCUGUUUGCUUUGACGUGGUGAAACCCACAGUUAGAAUCCAGACUUCUACCUAGAAUCUCAGUCUGAACACUUUCAAGGCAUUGACAGUCGCAGAACUGAAAUGAAUGAAGGUUCUAGUCACGGAGCCCUCCAUCCACAAAAGACCCCAUCUGUCUGGAAACCAUCAGCCUUUCUUUGGCCUAAAUUGAGCUGAAUAGAAGUUAUCCCUCAAAGUUGGCAUGCUACCUUCUGAAGAUCCCUUUGGAAUGCAUGUAUCUGCCUUGGAUGGAAAUCACAUUACCUAGCAAUCUUACCAUAAACAUAAACACACACUGGUUUGGCACCACCACCAUAAACACACACAGCUUUGGCUUCCUCAAGGGAGGGACAGUAAGGUAACAGGUUAUUAUGUGAUGAAUUCAAUGCCUUUUAGAAGCUUUUUUUUCCUUCUCUCUCUCUCUCUCUCUUUUUAGAUAUUUGCUUAGAAUGCUCUGUAGAAGGAACACUGGGCUUUUUGUAAGCCAGUUUGGAAGGCUUGCCUCCAAGGCAGUUACAAACUUAAGACAUUGCUAGGAGAAAUUCUAUUGUAUAAAGACAGUUUUGCUGGAAGAGGUUCACUGAGCAUUUAUUUGGUCCAAUCUCAUGCUAUAUACAAAGCAGGAGUGCAGGGACAAGAAAGUUCUAUUUCUUCCUCUGUGCUCUAGUUACGAAGCAAGUUAGACUUCAAUUAAGAUACACAGAGUGGCACUCCUCCAUCCUUGCCCCCAGAUAGACUGCAUAUGAGAGAACCAUGCAGAAUGAGGAGAGGUGACAUAUCUGAAGAGAGAGGACAUGAGGGCAAAUAUAUGGGGCAGAGGCAGAGGGAUUGUCAGAGAAGCCCCAUCUGAGGAGUAAUGAGAACACAGAACACAGCAGGGAGCAUUGGUUCCGAAGAAAGGCCAAGUGCUUCACUCUCCAAACAGGAGAAGGAGAAGGGGAGGCUUGCCCUAAAGACUGAAGGACAAGAGUGAGAAAAUGGUUCUAAUCAUUUGUAAGGACAGAGGCUAUAGGAAGAGACGGAGGGCGGAUCUGGACACCAUCAGCCAAUGGGGUCUUGGAGACAGGGAAUGAAUAAUUUGGAAGGACAUCAGGGCUAGGGAUUUUGGGUAGAGCGAUCUGGAGUUAAUGACACAGCUGUGCAGGGCUGCAGACAAGCCAGCAGGGCAGGAUAGAAGCUACAGCUAAAGACCGGGAGCCAGCGGGUUAGCAGGUUACCCUCUUGUCCAUGAGGCAUCCAGCUGACACCCUGCCAAACCUGAGGGAGAGAGAGAUAGGUCACAAGCCCUCUGCCAAAACCCUACGUGAGCUCUAGAGACGGUGGCUGAUGAUAUUUGAUAGGUUUGACAGAGGAUAAGGUGUGAGGGUAAUUUAUGUGUGGAGGGAAGAAUAUGGCCUGGGGACAAUUUUAAAGGGUAAGGGUGGUAUCAACUCCCAACACCCAGCCCAGAGGGCAGAGGGUGGAUAAGAAUGAGUCUCACCAAGUAAUGGCGCUUGCUGCUGACCUUGACAACCUUGAGUUCAGUGCCUGGACCCCAGAUGAAGGAUGGAAAGAGCCGAUAUCCGCAGGUCGUCUUCUGGUCCCAACAUACGUGACAUGGCACAUGCAUGCCCACCCCACCCCCACCCCCAGAAAACAUAAGCAAGCAUUUUACAAUUUUUUUGUUUUGUUUUCUGUUGUUGCUUCUUUUUAGAAUGAGUCUUCUCUAUCUAAGGACAAAAGAGAAGCAGGAGUCUCAGGAGAUUAGGGUCCAGCUGAGGGCAGAAAGAAGAAGCUUGGUAGAAAUGGUAAGAACGCAAGAAUGGGGUUCUGAAAGCUGUAGAAGGCAGGGAGACAGACAGAAGAGAGAGAAAGCAUCCCUAGACUGUCCAAAGAGGCCUUCAGUGGUCAUACUUGUCAUGAGGAUGCUGUUGUGUUAACACAUGAAAGGCAUUCAGAGAAAUGUCAACAUGUAGUCAGAUCUGAAGAAGUGUCAACCUGAGAGGGAAAAACAUUACCAGGUCACACUUUCCCCAAAGUCACAAACAUCCAGUCACACAAGCCCUAACGAACAUAUCAUCAGGGCUGGAGAGAUGGCUCAGUGGUUAAGAGCACUGGCUGCUCUUCCAGAGGUCCUGAGUUACCAGUUCAGUUACCAGCACCCACAUGGUGGCUCACAACCAUCUGUAAUGGGAUCUGAUGCCCUCCUCUAGCACACGGAUGUUCAUGCAGAUAGAGCCCUCAUAUACAUAAAAAUAAAUAAAUAAGUCUUUUUUUUUUUUUUAAAAAAAGAGAGCAUAUUAUCUUCUUGUCACACAGAACUAAAGUCCAACUUGCAAAGAAAAAAAAAAGUCUGUCAGAGUUCCUGGUAGGUUUAGUUUCUUAUGCAUUUGAAGGUAGAGGCAGUUCACAAGCUUCAGAUACACAAUGUGUUCAAGACUACAUUGGGCUAAACAAUAACAACCUCUCCCAAAACAAAAACAAGUCAGAGGCUGAAGAGCUAGCUCAACAAUUAAGAGUGUACGUUGCUCUCAAAGAGGACCCAGGUUCACUUCUCAGCACCCACACAGUGGCUCACAAAAAUCUGAACUCCGGUUUCAAGAGAUUCCGCACUCUCCUCUGAUUUCCCUGGCACCGGGCAUGCAGGUGGUUUGUGUACAUUCAUGCAGCCAAAAAUACUCAUCCACAUGAAAUAAAAUAACCAUGUAAAACAAGCAACUGGAACCCCCUCCCAAACAAACAAACAAACAAACAACAACAAAACCAAAUUAACAACAACAAACAAAAUCCUGUCUGGUAAAUCAUUUUUAAAAUUUUUUAAAAAUAAGAUUACCACAUGAUUUGGUAACUUUUUUCCUAGAUAUGUCUCUGUACAUAUAUGUAUAUAUAAAAAAUCAAAAGCUGAUAUCUGAACAGGUAUUUUUAUAUAUGUGUUUUGAAUAGAAGUACUCACAGAAGCUAAGAUACAGAAACCACUCCACUGUCACCUGUGGAUAAGCUGUAGGUAACAGGCAAAGAGUGGAAAGUUACUCAGCCAUAGCAAGGAAGACAAUCUGGUCACACUCUAGUAUAGGCGAACCCCGAGGACACUGCAGUAAAUGAAGUUAGCUGGUCACAAAUAGACGGGCACUGUACGAUUCCUUCUCUAUGAACUGUCCAAUGUCAGGUUCACAGAGAAGAGAAAGGAAGUAUCGUGUGGUUACCAGAUUCUUUGGGAAAGGCAAGUGGUUUAAUCGGUUUAGUUUUAGAUUUGAAGUAUAAGAAUGUUCUAGAAAUCUGUUUCUUAAUAGUGUGGGGGGGCAUACACAAUACCACUGAUGCACCCCAAGCAUGACCAUACAUUCCUGUAAGCCCAGCACUGGGGGGAGGGGGUGGGGGGUGCUGAGUACAGGGGCUGUGCAUUCCCAGGCAGUCAAGGUUACACACCCCUAUCUCAAAGCACAAUGUAACAGCAAGA
rnacentral:lncRNA from 1 species